CAGUACUCCUGCAUCGAAAAAGUAAGGAGUAGUACUCCUGAUGUUGAAAAUGUAUAUGGAGUCCUGCCAUAAUCACUCUCCACGAGAUCUCCAGGUUAACAUGGUACCAUAUGAUGGUAAUCGUGACACUCUUACACAUGAGUCCACUACCUUCGCCCAAAACUGACAUCAAUGGAGUUUUUAGUAUAUGUCCGUGAAAUACCAGUGUCGCCUGAACGAAUGAUGCAGUUUUCCCCUGUAGGACUCACUUCGUGUAGGCGACGUUCUGACAUGUUUUACAUGAACGUGUUGGUUGCUUGUUGUUUUACGCCGCACACAGCAAUGUUGCAGUUGUAUGGUGGCGGACUAUAAACAAUCGAGUCUGGGCCAGACAAUCCAGUGAUCAGUAGCAUGAGCAUCGAUCUACACAAUUGGGAUACGAUAACUUGUGUCAACCGAGCGCGACCACCCGAUUCCAUCAGUCACCCCUUACGACAAGCAUGGGUAACUGAAGACCAAUUCUAGCCCGGAUCUUCACGGAGAUACCUCAAGUUUCAA